CAAUAGGAGACAAGCAGCCACCUGCCAACAGCCAAUAGCGGCUGAGAAACUCGCUGCUUUGCUCUCCGCGGGCGAUACAGGCUUUGAGCUUUUACGACGUCACGCUCCCUCCUCCCACCGCGCUACGUUACGCAGCCGCUCUCCUCCUCCGAGGCUGGUUAGGGGGCGGGGUGCCAGGGGCCAAUGAGCGGCCAGAGCGCCAUGGCGACGGAGGCGCUGCCGUAAAGCUAUAGCCUAGGGGCGUCCCGCGGAGCCGGUUUGACCCCAGUGCCGGGGGCAGUUGUCAUUGGAGUUGGGGACGCGGAGCGAGUGUGGUGAUCGCCGCCGCGCUCCCUGCCUCCUUACCCGCCCGGCGCCCGACACCCCCCCUGCCGCCAUGGCGGGGGUGCUGGCCCGCAAGGCCGCGGACUAUGUGCGGAGCAAGGACUUCAGGGACUAUCUGAUGAGUACGGUAAGAAAAAGCUUUUUCUACUUCGUUUCAGCUGUUUGUAAUCUUGCUGUACUAGCAUUGUUGUGAACUGACCUGACUCCGUCUAAGGAGGUGCAUUGCUAACCUUCAGGACUGGUGAGUUAGUAAAAAUUUUCCUCGCCUCUCUACUCCCAUGUGUAUUAGGGUAACAAUUCCCUCACGUAAGGAGGACUAAAGCAGCUAAGGAAUCAGAAAGAUAUGGGUUUCCUUCACAGCCCUCUCAGUCACUGUUUGCUAGGGGCAUGGGAUUGAUUUAGAGCUCCAUCUCUGACUACUGCACAGUCAUGUGUUGUUGCUAGAUGAAUUAAAUGUUUUAUUUUUAACCAUGUUUACUUCAGACAGUAAACAGCACAGUCCCACAGCUUUCACUCUAGACUUUCUCUGAUGGUCCAGUUAUCUUCAUUACUGAAUCUGGAAAUCAUGACUCACUAUAUUGUGGGAUUCAGAAUACUUAGUUCUGUACUAUGGCUGAAUACAUACUGAUAUAGAAGGCUAUUCUAGCCUACUUCCCGUGUAGACUGAAGACAGCCUGUACAUGUGAAGUUGCACUUUAUUAUAUUUCUAUUGAAUCCUCUUACUUUUUAGAUGAAAAACAUAAAACUUCUGAGGGAGUCGGACUGAAUCGCUGAGAGGAUUGGAGAGGGGAUUGUGGAGCCUUUUACCUCUUGGUCUCUAGUUCAAAUGUGGUCCAGAUCAGUAGUGAUUGAAAGUUACCAUUUGAUGGCAGAUUAGUGAUUUAUGUGAAACAAGUUGAGUGGACUCUGACAUUUUUUCUAAUGAACACUCCUAUAUCACAAUAAUCAUAGGACUUGGUACCUUUUGUAGGCAGUCUAAUAAGGAAUCAAAUGCUGAAUGAACAUGAACUACCCUCCAGAACAAGAAGCUAGCAUUAAGUCUCCUAAGGCUAAAACUGUUUUGAGGGUAGAUGGACAGCCACUUUCCAGUGCUAUCAUUGUGUCAGUUCUCAAGCACUAAAUUCCACUAUUUUAAAUGAAUCCAAAGAAAACUGUAGAGGUUCUUAAAACAGUAUUAGUGACAAUAUGCAGUA
rnacentral:lncRNA from 1 species